GUGAAAAAGAUCACUCUUGUAUUGGGAAACAAACAAAUGGCAGUGGAAGUACAAGUAAUCAUAUCGUGUUUCUCUGCUCUGGACUGGAGAAUUGCAUUGCUUAUUCAAAACAAUCAUUUUCUGCUUUCAGCUACCACUUUGUAUCACAUAAGCAUUCCAGAUGGCCCACCACAGUCAGGCUGCGCCCCUGAAGGCAGGGCUGCAGCCUGUGUCGCUGCUGCGCUGGGAGCAAACAGCUGCCCUUUAAACCCAGCAAGAUGGGAUCCAGUUUCUGUCUCAGUGUCACUCUGAAGUCCUCAUGUUAAAAGUUGACCAUUUAUCUAAAUAUAUUUCCAUCACAGGUAUCUGCUUCCUUUGUAAACACACAUUAUAAUUGCUCAUAGGCAUUAUAUAACUUAUAAAUCUUACUGUGUGAUUAAAAGUGAAUUAUUUUCCCUCAUGCUAUAAUUACGUUUAGAAAUCAUUUCAAAGUCGUGUGCUCACUUAUUUUCUUUUUUUUUUUUUUGACAGGCAGAGUGGACAGUGAGAGAGAGAGAGACAGAGAGAAAGGUCUUCCUUUGCUGUUGGUUCACCCUCCAAUGGCCACCACGGCCAGUGCGCUGCGGCCAGCACAUCGCGCUGAUCAGAAGGCAGGAGCCAGGUGCUUCUCCUGGUCUCCCAUGGGGUGCAGGGCCCAAGCACUUGGGCCAUCCUCCACUGUACUCCCGGGCCAUAGCUGAGAGCUGGCCUGGAAGAGGGGCAACCAGGACAGAAUCCGGCGCCCCGACCAGGACUAGAACCUGGUGUGCUGGCGCCGCAAGGCGGAGGAUUAGCCUACUGAGCCACGGCACCAGCCGUGCUCACUUAUUUCUAAGGAUUCAUAAGUAUUGUUCUCAUUACAGAAAUACUGGUGGAAAAGCACUACUUGCUGUUUCAACAUAGCAAACUGAUCUUGAGUGUGAGAGGCACAGGAGUACAUCGUCCUCUUGGACCAAAUCAGCUUUCAUGAAAAACAACUACGCAAAGAGGAAAGUCUUUGGAUGCAAGAAAAACAGCAUGGACUGUGAGAGAUGCUUGCAUUUUGAGUGGUAGCAAAAGAGAGAAGCACAGAAACUCAGCGCUGGAGGAAAUAGGUUUGGGAGGGGGAUGGCUCACAUGGGGGGAUGUGCUGAACUGCCAGGGGAUGAACUGUGCUCUGGCACUCAGUGAUGCUUCUGGAUCUCAGAAGAUCUUCGUCUAUCAAAAGAGGUUGAUUCUAAUCCCAGUAAAUAAAAUAAAGAACUCAAGUUAGUUACACGUCAUCUGAUUUUGAGCUCUUCAGGACUGUGACUGACUGACAUAUAGGUGAAUAUGAUCAAAAGGCCCCAGAUAUCUUCAAAAGCAUGCAGAUACCUAGACCUGUAUGAAAUUAGGAUAAAAACUUAAAUAUGCAAGUACAGGACUGAGAAAAUAUGAAAGUGAGCUAGAGUUUUUAAAGAAUUCAGGAUCACUGUGGCCAUUGUUACCACCACUAGAAAAAAACAAAAGCUUAGAUUUACAGAGUGGUUCCUUUUUCAGCUACUGGCUCGCCACUAUAUAUGUAAUGUGUCAUUCAUUCCUCAUAGAAGCUUUAUAAGUAUUAUUAUCAUGGCCACUUACAGAUGAGAAGACUGAAUGACUUGCUGAGCCUACACAGCUCUUGUAACAAUGGUGGUAGACAAGGCCUGAUGGCUAAAGGCCAUUCAGCAUACAAUAUCACAACAGUUAUGAAUUUAUGGUUUGUUGUAGGAAAGGAAUGUAAUAUGCCAACAGCAGUAAAGUAAGUAUACACAUCACAGCCACAGGCAGAAAAGUGGUCUGGGAACCAGUGCCAUCCAUGCUCCUGUUAUCCUCCUUCCACAAAUUGUCCUAGAGUGAUUGUUUUCUUUUCAAUCAAGAACCACCAAUGUGUGUACAGAACACCUUGGACACACAGAGAGAAAAAUGGUUUCUGUCACCCUGCUGCUCAUUCAGGCGUGUUUCUUGCUGAGCCUUGAGAUGGAGAUAGCGGCUGGCUCAUCACCAAGAUUAGCUACAAAUUGUCAAUUCACUGUUACCAAUAAACAGUGCUGACAAGUGAUACAGACCGCCUGAAAAAGCUUGGAGCCAGGAUUACUGAACAAGACUAUCAUCAGUGUUUUGAGUCUCAAUCAGUGCUGUGCAGUCACAUUUACCAUAUUUCCAUGAAAUAACUCAGGCUAACUACAGGUCUACUAAAAUUAACCUUCAUAGGGUAUCUAGGAAUCAAUAAAUAAUAAAUUCUGGACUAGAUUUCAGGGUUUUCUUUCCAAAUAGCUAAGCUAAUAUGGUGCCACCACUGGAUUUAUAGUAAUUUUGCCUUCGCUAAUGUCAGAUUUACUGGAUUAGCUAUACUUUGCCCUGAAUGCCAUACUCUGAAAUGCAGAUUUGUUCUAAAUACAGGGAAACUUUUUUAAGGGUGACUUUGUUAUACCCAGAAGCCACAAUUUACCAUGAAUUAUUCAAGAACUGGAGAUGUUUAGCAAUGAGAAAGAAGAUUGAGAAAGAUACUUCUUUAUAAUCUCUUUAAGGAAAGGAAUUCUUUCCAAGAAUGGCACAAGGUGAAGGUCAGAUGGCAUAAAGCACAGAAAUUCAACAUUCCCUCCUUACGAGAAAGAAUCUGUGUCCCCUCUCUUUAAAUCUGCGUUGGAUUUCUGGCUUUACUGUCAGAGUUCUAUGGACUAUGUAGACAUCAGAUGGGGUGGCUUGAAUACUGGCUACUUAAUCUACUUCAAAGGUGACUCUACACAGCUGGAUAGUGAUCAACAUUGGCUGAGACAGGAGAUUGUUUGCCCAGGUUGGGUGACAAAAGGAAGUAAUACUUAAUAAAAGUUUCUGGGCACUAUAUGAACGAAAGGCUGCAAUGGAGAAAGCAUUAAGAACAGGUAAGCAAAAAUACAAAAACAGUUGAGGACGCUAAACAACAAAUAAAGAAGGACUUUCUAAGCAGCAUUGAUUAUAUAGGAAUGAUUCUCAACAUCUAUGAGAUCAAUUUUUUAGAUUCCACAUGUGAGUAAGACCACAUGGUCCUUAUGUUUCUGUGUUUCAUUUAUUUCACUUAAUACAAUGAUCUCUAGCUCCACCCAGGUUGUUGCAACAGCAAGAUUUCAUUCUUUUCUAUAGAUGAGUAGUAGUCUACUAUGUAUAUGUGCCACGUUUUCUUUCUCCCUUAACUGGUUGAUAGGCAUAUAUAGGUAGCUUCCAUUUCUUGCAUUUCUUUACUAUUGUGAAUAAUGAUGCAACAAAUAGAAUAUAGGUAUCUCUUCAAUAGAUUUAUUUAAGUAAAUGUUGAUAAUAGAAUGGUGGUUAUCAGAUGCUAAGACUAGGAUGUUUGGAGGAAAGUGGGAAAGGUUGAUUAAUAAGAAUGAAAUUCUGGUGUUCUAUUAUAUAGUAGGGUGUUAUAGGUAAUAAUGUACUGCAUUUUUUUAAGCCAGAAGGAAGGAUUUUGAAUGUUUUCGCCAGAAACAAAUGAUCAGCAUUUGAGGAGAUAGAUAUUUUUACCCUGAUUUGAACAUUAUACAAUGUAUAAAAGCAUUAAAACAUCACAUGGUAUCCCAUCAAUAUUUAUAAUUUAUAUGUAUCAGGGGCCGGUGCCGCGGCUCACUAGGCUAAUUCUCCACCUUGCGGCGCUGGCACACCGGGUUCUAGUCCCGGUCGGGGCGCCGGAUUCUGUCCCAGUUGCCCCUCUUCCAGGCCAGCUCUGUGCUGUUGCCAGGGAGUGCAGUGGAGGAUGUGAUUUGAGAUAUUUGUGCAUAGGAUACAAAAGCAUCUCUUCAUCCUGCACUGGUAUCAUAGGAAGUU